UACGUAGGGUGCGAGCGUUGUCCGGAAUUAUUGGGCGUAAAGGGCUCGUAGGCGGUUUGUCGCGUCGGGAGUGAAAUCCACUGGCUUAACUGGUGGCUUGCUUUCGAUACGGGCAGACUGGAGGUAUGCAGGGGAGAACGGAAUUCCUGGUGUAGCGGUGAAAUGCGUAGAUAUCUGGAGGAACACCGGUGGCGAAGGCGGCGUUCUGGACUGUAACUGACACUGAGGAACGAAAGCCAGGGGAGCAAACGGG
rnacentral:rRNA from 1 species